UACGGAGGGUGUAAGCGUUAUCCGGAAUCAUUGGGUUUAAAGGGUCCGUAGGCGGACUGAUAAGUCAGAGGUGAAAUCCCACAGCUUAACUGUGGAACUGCCUUUGAUACUGUCAGUCUUGAGUUAUAUUGAAGUAGAUGGAAUGUGUAGUGUAGCGGUGAAAUGCAUAGAUAUUACACAGAACACCGAUUGCGAAGGCAGUCUACUAAGUAUAUACUGACGCUGAGGGACGAAAGCGUGGGGAUCAAACAGG
rnacentral:rRNA from 1 species